GACGAGGGGGGUUGCUGAGGCCUGGGGUUCCGCCUGGGGAGUGAGUCCCUGGUGCGGUCGAGCUGGAAUGGGGGUGGUGAGGCAGCCGGGAGGAGUUGGGUAGGAAUUCCUCGGCCCGGACCAAGCCGGUGGUUGGGCGCCCUCUGGGCUCCAGCUUUGACAGCCCAAGCCGCGUCUGAGAUGCAGUUGGACGGUGAUCACCUGCCUUCCCCGUAAGGCACCUCAAUCCUCCGGAGAAUGUGGGGGAGUGUGUUUGGUCUGAAGAGGUUGACAACUCUGGAUAUAAAGGAAAUGCUCAAUCUUCCUAAUGUAUGUGGGACUCACCCCAGCAAGGAGGACCCUCCUUUGAGAGGACAGUGAUGAAGACGAUGCCUGACACCUGAAGGCUAAUGGUGGACGGUCAGGCAGCCUCACAGAUGGGGAAACUGAGGACAACAAGGUUAAAUGACUUGCUCAAGGCCACCAGUGGGUAUGUUUUAAAGAUGCGAUUCGAACCCAGGUCUGUCUUACCCUUCAACCAAUGCUAUUCUGUACCCUGCUGCCCCCCUGGUAAUAAUAAUGAUACCAACGUUGGAAGUAAUAGUAAAAAUAAUGAUAGUGGCUAUGA